rnacentral:rRNA from 1 species
GACAGAGGGUGCAAGCGUUAAUCGGAAUUACUGGGCGUAAAGGGCUUGUAGGCGGUUAGCUAAGUCGAGUGUUAAAACCCCGGGCUUAACCUGGGAAUGUCAUUCGAUACUGGCUAACUUCGAGUUGAGUAGAGGUAAGUGGAAUUUCCGGUGUAGCGGUGAAAUGCGUAGAUAUCGGAAGGAACAUCAGUGGCGAAGGCGGCUUACUGGACUCAAACUGACGCUGAGGAGCGAAAGCGUGGGGAGCAAACAGG